rnacentral:rRNA from 1 species
AGCAAGCACCGGCUAACUCCGUGCCAGCAGCCGCGGUAAUACGGAGGGUGCAAGCGUUACUCGGAAUCACUGGGCGUAAAGCGCGCGCAGGCGGCUAUUUAAGUUGGAUGUGAAAGCCUACGGCUCAACCGUAGAACUGCAUCCAAAACUAUUUAGCUAGAGUGUGGGAGAGGAAGAUGGAAUUAGUUGUGUAGGGGUAAAAUCCGUAGAGAUAACUAGGAAUACCAAAAGCGAAGGCAAUCUUCUGGAACACUACUGACGCUGAGGCGCGAAAGCGUGGGGAGCAAACGGGAUUAGAUACCCCGGUAGUCCACGCAGUAAACGAUGAAUGUUAGUCGUCGGGGGCCUAGUGUCUACGGUGAUGCAGCUAACGCAUUAAACAUUCCGCCUGGGGAGUACGGUCGCAAGAUUAAAACUCAAAGGAAUAGACGGGGUCCCGCACAAGUGGUGGAGCAUGUGGUUUAAUUCGAAGAUACGCGAAGAACCUUACCUAGCCUUGACAUAUUUAAGAAUCCGGUAGAGAUACUGGAGUGCCUUCGGGAGCUUUCUUACAGGUGCUGCACGGCUGUCGUCAGCUCGUGUCGUGAGAUGUUGGGUUAAGUCCCGCAACGAGCGCAACCCUCGUCACUAGUUACUAACGGUUCGGCCGAGGACUCUAGUGAGACUGCCUUCGUAAGGAGGAGGAAGGUGAGGACGACGUCAGUCAUCAUGGCCCUUACGGCUAGGGCAACACACGUGCUACAAUGGCCAGGACAGUGAGACGCGAUACCGUGAGGUGGAGCAAAUCUAUAAACCUGGUCUCAGUUCGGAUUGUAGUCUGCACUCGACUACAUGAAGCUGGAUCACUAGUAAUCGUA